AGCGAACGCUGGCGGCAGGCCUAACACAUGCAAGUCGAACGAACUCUUCGGAGUUAGUGGCGGACGGGUGAGUAACACGUGGGAACGUGCCUUUAGGUUCGGAAUAACUCAGGGAAACUUGUGCUAAUACCGAAUGUGCCCUUCGGGGGAAAGAUUUAUCGCCUUUAGAGCGGCCCGCGUCUGAUUAGCUAGUUGGUGAGGUAAAGGCUCACCAAGGCGACGAUCAGUAGCUGGUCUGAGAGGAUGAUCAGCCACAUUGAGACUGAGACACGGCCCAAACUCCUACGGGAGGCAGCAGUGGGGAAUCUUGCGCAAUGGGCGAAAGCCUGACGCUGCCAUGCCGCGUGAAUGAUGAAGGUCUUAGGAUUGUAAAAUUCUUUCACCGGGGACGAUAAUGACGGUACCCGGAGAAGAAGCCCCGGCUAACUUCGUG
rnacentral:rRNA from 1 species